rnacentral:rRNA from 1 species
UGGGGAAUAUUGCACAAUGGGCGCAAGCCUGAUGCAGCCAUGCCGCGUGUGUGAAGAAGGCCUUCGGGUUGUAAAGCACUUUCAGCGAGGAGGAAGGUGGUGAGCUUAAUACGCUCAUCAAUUGACGUUACUCGCAGAAGAAGCACCGGCUAACUCCGUGCCAGCAGCCGCGGUAAUACGGAGGGUGCAAGCGCUAAUCGGAAUUACUGGGCGUAAAGCGCACGCAGGCGAUUUGUUAAGUCAGAUGUGAAAUCCCCGGGCUCAACCUGGGAACUGCAUUUGAAACUGGCAAGCUAGAGUCUCGUAGAGGGGGGUAGAAUUCCAGGUGUAGCGGUGAAAUGCGUAGAGAUCUGGAGGAAUACCGGUGGCGAAGGCGGCCCCCCUGGACGAAGACUGACGCUCAGGUGCGAAAAGCGUGGGGAGCAAACAGGAUUAGAUACCCUGGUAGUCCACGCUGUAAAACGAUGUCGAUUUGGAGGUUGUGCCCUUGAGGCGUGGCUUCCGGAGCUAACGCGUUAAAUCGACCGCCUGGGGAGUACGGCCGCAAGGUUAAAACUUAAAGGAAUUGACGGGGUCAUAGCUGUUUCCU